AAUCAACGCUGGCGGCGUGCCUAACACAUGCAAGUCGAACGAGAAAGUGACUUCGGUCACUGGAAAGUGGCGUCCGGGUGAGUAACACGUGGGUAAUCUACCCUCGGGUGGGGAAUAACGGAUCGAAAGAUUCGCUAAUACCGCAUAAUGCAGCGGCACCUAAUGGUGAAUAGUUGUUAAAGCGGGGGAUCGCAAGACCUCGCGCCUGAAGAGGAGCCUGCGGCAGAUAGCUAGUUGGUGAGGUAAUGGCUCACCAAGGCUUCGAUCUGUAGCUGGUCUGAGAGGACGGCCAGCCACACUGGCACUGACACACGGGCCAGACUCCUACGGGAGGCAGCAGUGGGGAAUUUUGGGCAAUGGGCGAAAGCCUGACCCAGCAACGCCGCGUGAGGGAGGAAAUCCUUCGGGAUGUAAACCUCGCAAGCAAGGGAAGACAGCUAGAGAUUUAAUAAAUUUCUAGUCCGACGGUACCUUGCGUAAGCCACGGCUAACUACGU
rnacentral:rRNA from 1 species